rnacentral:tRNA from 1 species
UCUUUUAUAGUUUAAUUGAAAAUGUUAAUUUUGUAAAUUAAUCUUAGAGUUAUUAACUCUUAAAAGAU